rnacentral:rRNA from 1 species
AUUGAACGCUGGCGGCAUGCCUUACACAUGCAAGUCGAACGGCAGCACGGGAGCAAUCCUGGUGGCGAGUGGCGAACGGGUGAGUAAAGUAUCGGAGCGUGCCCAGUCGUAGGGGAUAACGUAGCGAAAGUUACGCUAAUACCGCAUACGAUCUAUGGAUGAAAGCGGGGGAUCGCAAGACCUCGCGCGAUUGGAGCGGCCGAUAUCAGAUUAGGUAGUUGGUGGGGUAAAGGCUCACCAAGCCGACGAUCUGUAGCUGGUCUGAGAGGACGACCAGCCACACUGGGACUGAGACACGGCCCAGACUCCUACGGGAGGCAGCAGUGGGGAAUUUUGGACAAUGGGCGCAAGCCUGAUCCAGCCAUGCCGCGUGCAGGAUGAAGGCCUUCGGGUUGUAAACUGCUUUUGUACGGAACGAAAAGGUUUGGCUUAAUACGUUGAACUCAUGACGGUACCGUAAGAAUAAGCACCGGCUAACUACGUGCCAGCCGCCGCCGUAA